rnacentral:lncRNA from 1 species
GUGACNUUGGGGGACUUUUUUGGCUCCGCCCACGUGACCCAGCCAAUCGGCCUCAAGAGCAGGAGGAUUGUGGGAGGUGGAGAGAAGCUUGUGUGGGAGAGAGAGGCUUGGGGAAAGCCACAGCCGAAGGGGCCCCAGCAAACUUCCAGCUGCCAGCAAACUUCCAGCUGCCGGCUGACGAUUGGCUCACAGCACUCCUACUCUCUUGAUCUCUUCGCCACCAUGUGAGGAUACAGGAAGAAAUCUAAAGUCUGAAGCCUGGAAGAGAGUUGUAUAAACCAGCUUUGUAUUACUAUCAUAAAAUAACCAAGGCAGCUAACUUUAAAAAGAUAUAAGGUUUAUUUAGCUCACAGUUUUGGAUGUUUGGGACAUGGCUGUAGCAAUGGUUUUACUGAGGACCUCAUGGUGAAUGGCAGACAGUGGGUGGCAGUGGCAAGGGCACGUGGUGGGGCAAGUGGCCACAUUUCAACUAAGGAGUCGAGAGGGCUGGGUGGGGCCAAACUCAGACCUCAACCAAUGGGUCUUGAAAGAAUUACCUUGUGAGGGAACAUCCUCAAUGACCAAAGGACCUCCCUCUGCACCUCACUUUCCAAAGGUUCUACUCCCUCCCAGUAGCACCAACCAAUAGACCAUGCCUUCCUUUGCAAUUGAACCUUAGGGAUGGACACUGGAACCACAACAAAGCAAGGGCCUUUGCCAGAACACAACCAUGCUGGCACACUGAUCUCAACCUUCCAGCCUCCACAACCGUAAGAAAUAAAUUUCUGCUAUUUAUAAGCCUCCUGGUCUAUGGAAAUCUUAUAUAGCAGCCUGAACUGACAAAGACACUAUACACACACACACACACACACACACACAUUUAUAUAAAAUAAAAUUUGCCUUUUAUUUCUCUUUUUUAAAACUGCCUUGCUUUCUGAUUCUACUCUUGGGCUAGUGAGUAUCAUUGCAAAAAUUUUUGCAUCCUUGAGGCAACAUGCUAAAGCAUAUGCUCAGGUGAUCUCUUUUUAAUUCACAUAAUUAUUCAACGUUCAGUUAUUGUUGAACGUUUGCUAUCUGCUAGGUUUCCUGGCAGGUGGAGAUGAUCCCCAUUUUAUAGCAAAGGAAACAGAAUCUCUCUGAGACCCAGCAGCUCACCCCAAAUGCCCCUGCAGCGGUGGUGAGCCCAGCUCUCAGCCUGAUGUGUCCUCUGCACACUCUCUCUUCCCCAGCUUGGGCGGCUGCUCCUGUGCAGAGAAGCAAUGGGGAAAUCUCUUCUGACAAACAGGAAUCAACCUUGACCAGGGAAGGCCAACUAGCACAUUGCUUUACAAAGGGCAAAAUGGAAAUGAGCAAGGGGUAUGCCUAAACAAUCCACGUCUGAAGCUACUUUUAUAUUAACAUUUUCUCCCCCCCCCCACACCCCAAUGAUCUCAUUAGAAUACUGAAACCCAGGUGAGAGGAAAUAACUCUGUGAUCUUUUUCAAACAUUGUGCCACAAGAAGGAGACAAAAGAGAAUAGGAAAGGAAAUAAUGAAAAUCUGGUUAACCAUAAGAUCAACUUCUAAAUUCAUGAUAAGAUGAAAAAAAUUUUCCACUAAAAAUAGCUUUCUAGUUGGCUUUGAGGUUGUUGGUAUCAGUCUAAUGAAUAUUUGCCAAAAAAAAA